AUGCAGCUGAUUUGCAGCUCUGUUGUAUUGCGAGUUUUUUUGUCGUCGAGGGCUCAGACCAGUUCUGCGGUGUUUCCGUUUUUGUUGUUGCUUUCUUUUGGCAGGGUCGAUGUGGUAUUCCACUGUUGCAGUCACGUUUGUACCAAGCUAUCUAUCGGCAGAGUGGUGGUCCAUAUUCAGCCUGACUCUGUUAGUCUGUUACUGGUCUUUGUGGAAAUUGGAGAUUUUUAUGUG